rnacentral:rRNA from 1 species
AUUGAACGCUGGCGGCAUGCUUUACACAUGCAAGUCGAACGGUAACAGGUUAAGCUGACGAGUGGCGAACGGGUGAGUAAUGCAUCGGAACGUGCCCGAUCGUGGGGGAUAACGCAGCGAAAGCUGCGCUAAUACCGCAUACGAUCUGAGGAUGAAAGCGGGGGACCGUAAGGCCUCGCGCGAUCGGAGCGGCCGAUGUCAGAUUAGGUAGUUGGUGGGGUAAAGGCUCACCAAGCCAACGAUCUGUAGCUGGUCUGAGAGGACGACCAGCCACACUGGGACUGAGACACGGCCCAGACCCCUACGGGAGGCAGCAGUGGGGAAUUUUGGACAAUGGGCGAAAGCCUGAUCCAGCAAUGCCGCGUGCAGGAAGAAGGCCUUCGGGUUGUAAACUGCUUUUGUACGGAGCGAAAAGGCUCUCUCUAAUACAGGGGGCUCAUGACGGUACCGUAAGAAUAAGCACCGGCUAACUACGUGCCAGCAGCCGCCGCCG